rnacentral:tRNA from 1 species
GGGCUCGUAGCUCAGCGGUAGAGCAUCGCCUUUGCAAGGCGGGGGUCUCGGGUUCAAAAAUAUCUAAAAUACUUUUAGAUGUUGAAUUUCCCGACGAGUCCA